rnacentral:rRNA from 1 species
GAUGAACGCUGGCGGUAUGCUUAACACAUGCAAGUCGAACGGUCACUUCGGUGCUAGUGGCGGACGGGUGAGUAACGCGUGAGAAUCUGUCUUCAGGUCGGGGACAACAGUUAGAAAUGACUGCUAAUACCGGAUGAGCCUUUGGGUGAAAGAUUUAUUGCCUGAAAAGGAGCUCGCGUCAGAUUAGCUAGUAGGUGGUGUAAGAGACUACCUAGGCUCCGAUCUGUAGCUGGUCUGAGAGGACGAUCAGCCACACUGGAACUGAGACACGGUCCAGACUCCUACGGGAGGCAGCAGUGGGGAAUUUUCCGCAAUGGGCGAAAGCCUGACGGAGCAAUACCGCGUGAGGGACGAAGGCUUUUGGGUCGUAAACCUCUUUUCUCAAGGAAGAUGAUGACGGUACUUGAGGAAUAAGCAUCGGCUAACUCUGUG